UAAAUUGAUGAUCUGAUCAAGACUGUGCUGUGCCUGGCUCCCUGUAUGCCACACAUGUAGCCCAGCCCAUGAAUGUGGUUUGCCUGCUGUGGGUGGCGUGCAAGGAGCCAAGCAUGCAUUACGCAUUAUGAUCAAUUAAUCUCUGGUU